GAUGAACGCUGGCGGCGUGCCUAAUACAUGCAAGUCGAGCGAACAGACGAGGAGCUUGCUCCUCUGACGUUAGCGGCGGACGGGUGAGUAACACGUGGAUAACCUACCUAUAAGGCUGGGAUAACUUCGGGAAACCGGAGCUAAUACCGGAUAAUAUAUUGAACCGCAUGGUUCAAUAGUGAAAGACGGUUUUGCUGUCACUUAUAGAUGGAUCCGCGCCGCAUUAGCUAGUUGGUAAGGUAACGGCUUACCAAGGCGACGAUGCGUAGCCGACCUGAGAGGGUGAUCGGCCACACUGGAACUGAGACGCGGUCCAGACUCCUACGGGAGGCAGCAGUAGGGAAUCUUCCGAAAUGGGCGAAAGCCUGACGGAGCAACGCGGCGUGAGUGAUGAAGGUCUUCGGAUCGUAAAACUCUGUUAUUAGGGAAGAACAAAUGUGUAAGUAACUAUGCACGUCUUGACGGUACCUAAUCAGAAAGCCACGGCUAACUACGUG
rnacentral:rRNA from 1 species